AACGCGAAGAACCUUACCUGGGCUUGAACCGCUACUGACCAAGGGUAGAAAUAUCCUCUUCCCGCAAGGGACAGUAGUAGAGGUGCUGCAUGGCUGUCGUCAGCUCGUGCCGUGAGGUGUUGGGUUAAGUCCCGCAACGAGCGCAACCCUUACUCGUAGUUGCCACCCGCAAGGGGGAACUCUACGAGGACUGCUCCGGAUAACGGAGAGGAAGGUGGGGAUGACGUCAAGUCAGCACGGCCUUUAUGUCCAGGGCUACACACGUGUUACAAUGCAUGGUACAGACUGUUGCGAACCCGCGAGGGGGAGCUAAUCGGACAAAGCCAUGCUCAGUUCGGAUUGCAGUCUGCAACUCGGCUGCAUGAAGCUGGAAUCGCUAGUAAUGGCGCAUCAGAUCGGCGCCGUGAAUACGUUCCCGGGCCUUGUACACACCGGCUAC
rnacentral:rRNA from 1 species